rnacentral:rRNA from 1 species
AUACGGAGGAUCCGAGCGUUAUCCGGAUUUAUUGGGUUUAAAGGGUGCGCAGGCGGCCAUUUAAGUCAGCGGUUAAAUCGUGGGGCUCAACCCCAUUCUGCCGUUGAUACUGGGUGGCUUGAUUGCGGUCGAGGUUGGCGGAAUUCGUUGUGUAGCGGUGAAAUGCAUAGAUAUGACGAAGAACACCGAUUGCGUAGGCAGCUGACCAGACCGCAAAUGACGCUCAUGCACGAAAGUGCGGGGAUCGAACAGGAUUAGAUACCCUGGUAGUCCGCACAGUAAACGAUGAAUACUUGUUUUCGGCGAUAUAAUGUCGGAGGCAAAGCGAAAGCGAUAAGUAUUCCACCUGGGGAGUACGCCGGUAACGGUGAAACUCAAAUGAAUUGGCGGGG